CGGGAGACUCGGUUGCUAUUGGCUCGGUAAACAAAAGAAGAAGGGUUGGCACUUCCUUAUCAAGUUGACACUCAUUAGCUAUUGAAGGCUGUAGAUCAGGCAUGGAAGCUCCGAUUGGCUCAAAUGAGGUGUCAAUCGAACGCUUAGAAUCUGGUCUCCAUUUUGGAAUCAUGGUAUCAGCACUGCAUGCACUAGAAAUUACAUUUUUACAGAGUAAAAAACAAAACAAUCACACACAUCGAUCAGCUGAUUUCAAAGAUUGCAACAGCUGUUCAUGGGCAUUUAUCAACAUGACAAUGUUGACAAUCAAUAUAUUUUUUACUGGAAUCGAUGUAUUGGACCUUUGGCAAUGACACAGGAGUGUUAUUUUGGGAUUAUUUUUGAUUACAGGAUUAUGAUGAGGCUUCAUAGUGUGAUGUGCCCAUCCACCUGCAACACAAGCAGACAGGAAGGAGAGUCUCUGCACGCCAGGCAGAGGGCGCAAGGAGACCUGCAGCCUGCAGACAGUGUCCCUGCUGCAGAGACAACCAGGUGAGACAUUUGAUUCUCAUCUUUGUUCUUUCAAAUUGUUAAAAGUAUGUUGUUUAGUAAGAGGUUUACUGGAGCCUGACAUCCUCUCAUGUGUUGCUGAUCUUCUCCAGGUGCCAGUUUUAAAGCAAAAGCGGCAGUGCUCUCCUGCUUCUGCAGACCUUCCCCAGAAGAGGAAGCGGACCACUGUGGCCCCCAGCCCCCAGACCCCCACUGCUGCACUGCACCUUGACGGACCUCUAAAGAUACAGAACCGCUCAGUGGAGGAGUACCAGCACCUCUACCAUGAAGCUGUGGAUCACAUGCUGAGGUUCAAGAGUGGUCGUCUGCAUCCGUACAGUUUACAUCUGGGUCGUCGUAUCAAGCAGAAGCUGUGGGAGAGACUGGCCCGUCCCACGUCCACACAAUCAGUGGAUGAAGACGGACUGGUGCUGGUGGACGUUUCCUACGGGGUUGCUGUCCAUCCUCCGCUUUAUUACCUGGAUGUUUCCGGAGAGCCAACUCCGCCUGUCAGCAACCUGCAGGCAUAGCCUCCACCUGCAGAUUCCUGCAAACAGCUUCAGCCAAACCUCCACCUACAGCCUAUGUCAGCAACCUGCAGGCAGUGCCUCCACCUGCAGUUUCUUGUAGACAGCUGCGGCAAAACAUCCACCCACAUAAUCCCCACCUGCCGAUUAAGGCAGACAGCUGAGACAAAACCUCCACCUACAGCCUCUGUCCUCAACCUGCAACCACCACCUCCACCUGCAGGUUCUAGCAGACAGCUGAGACAAAACCUCCACCUACAGCCUCUGUCAACAACCUGCAACCACCACCUCCACCUGCGGGUUCUGGCAGACAGCUGAGACAAGACCUCCACCUACAGCCUCUCCCGGCAAUUUGCACGGCCAGCUUCUGUCCUAUUGCCAUGUGGAGACCUCAGCGAGGAUCGGAGAUACACACACACACACACACUAUGAUCUUUCAGUUAACAUACAAACACAUUUAUAGCUGCCUGGGCAGAUAGUUUAAAGCUGCAUUUCUGUUUAUGUUCGGUUUACUUCUUCUCCAGACCCUGUUAGACUUCACAGACUUCAAGAUCUACCAGAAGAUGAUCAAGGGCCGUCAGGACACUUUCCUUCUACACGGGCUGUGUACCAGAGAUGCUUCUUCCUCCUCCCCAUCCUGCACCUUCACCACCAACUCCGACCCUCCCUAUCUCAGUUCCACCAGUAGUUUCUCACCAAGCAGAAUAAUGGAGGUCUGAAGAAUGCAGAGAUGCUCCACCUGAGACUUCAGUGCCUUACUUUUCCAGCCAUGCUCCCUAAAAAAAGACGACCAGUUUGCACUUUUACUGUUUACUUCUGAUCCUUUGCACUGUUCAAUAAAGUUCAUCAUUAUCUGCAGUCAUCAGUUCAGUCAUUUCAGUCCACAGGAAUUGGAAUUAUGAUAAGUCACCCUAAUGAAUGGUUUAUAGGAAUAAUUUAAUAUCUUAUAAAUGCUCAUGUCUCUCUCUCUCUCUCUCUCUCUCUCUCUCUCUCUCUCUCUCUCUCUCUCUCUCUCUCUCUCUCUCUCUCUCUCUCUCUCUCUCUCUCUCUCUCUCUCUCUUUUUAGUAAGUAUUAAUAAAGGGUCUUGAGUUUUUCACUUUCUAAUAAGCCAUCAGAAAAAGC
rnacentral:lncRNA from 1 species